GCCCAGCCCCAGCCGCGGCCCAGGCUGCGCCCAGGCCCGCCGCGCUGCCGCCCCGGCGUCCGGGCGUUGCUGGCGCCCUGGAGCACCAUUUCCAGGUGCGCUUCCACACGAGCCGCAUGUUCGGCUGCCUCCCCUGCGUGCGCUAUCCCCUGUGCCUCAUCCGCGGGUUGGGACGCCUGGAGCACCGGUGCAGGUGCUGUUACCUCGUCCUGCUGGCCGUGCUGCUGGCGGCCGAGAUGCUCAGCCUGCUCCUCAUCUUCCUCCCCAUCGUCCUACUGGUGCUGCUCUUCCUCAUCCUCGAUAAAUAGCCUGCAUCCGGGAUGUGCUGAGCACAGGGAGAACAGUCUGAGCGGGCUCUGUCCCACUGGGAGCGGGAGCAACUGCCCUCCUGCCUUCGCUCUCCGUGGAGCUGAUCUGCCUGAGAGCCAGCCUGUGAACCCAGGUGUCUGGGAAACCUCUCCACUGUCAGUGAGCCCAGAGCAGGUUUGUUUUUUGCUUUUUGGCAGCAAACUUACCCCUCCAGAUGCCCUAGAGAAAGCAAGGCUGUACACAGGAUGCUGCCACCCUGCCAACCCUGCUGCAUCCCCACAGAGACUGCUGAGGCUGGCACUGGUUAUGCCAGAGCCCCUGGGCUCCACUCACCUGGAGAAGGGACUAUGGCCAGGACCGUGGCCAGGAGCUAAACUUUGCCUUGGGCCCCCCCUUGCCUUGGCCAGCUGAAUUGCCCUGCUCAGCCCAGGGCUGUGCAGGAGCUGGACGGUUGUUUCGGAGGCAUAUGACGGGCAUCAGACCCAGCGCAGUGGCUGCGUGGCCGUGACCCUGAGCUGUCCUGCAGGACAUCGCUGUGGAGCCCGGGGGUUCCCCUCAAGCCCCAUGCGGACAGGGCCCCAGAGAACGGGCACAACUCAAUGCCUUUAUUAACAUGUAGUGGCCUGGAAGGGGCGGCCUGGGACACAUGGGAGAAAACAAGAAUCCUCCAAAACGAGGAUAAACUGGAGCUUUCCUCAAGGGCCUGCGGAGAAAACGGGCCGCGUGUCUGCUCGUAACCGAGGGGCCAGUGCAACGGCUUGACUUGGCUACACCGACUCAGACGCAUGUUGGAUUGGCCACCAAGAUGAAAGCUUUGGCAAAUAACUUACAGAGAAGAAUGGGCAGUUGGGGGCCUGUCCUCGAGCCCACUCCUGUCCCGUGCUGGCCGGGUGACCCCACACAGCGCCGUGCACUUCCAGGGCUCUUCAUCUCAUUAUCAGCCCGUCUUGGGUGGCCUCGCUGGCCACAGGAUGACGGAGAUGGUGUCACUGGCAGGUCACCGGUGGGGACCGAGCAUC
rnacentral:lncRNA from 1 species